UGUCUCCUGUAGCAACCGAGGCGUAUUUGGUCUUCUUGGGCUUAGAUACAAACUUAGGGUACAGACAUUGAUCAUGGUGAGCAUGUCCGUUAACGGAAAGCCUUUUUGAUCUGUAAUGUUCCCACUUGAACCCCUGGUUCAAGAACAAAAGUACAAAACGGUGCACAUGGGAGACAC
rnacentral:other from 2 species